rnacentral:ncRNA from 2 species
UGCAUAGGGUGUCACGGCGGUGCCCGGCAAUCGGGGUAAAAGGGAAGGCGGUGCGAAUCCGCCACGUGAGGCCGGCGCUGUGAGCGGGGAUGAAAUCCGAGUGAGGCCACUGUUUUCUUGCCCGAAGCGGGGGACGGCGCGAAAGUGAGGACGCCGAAGCCCACCGAGCGCGGCAGGGGAGCGGGAAGGUUCGGAGAGUAAGAGGAUCCGCGAGUCAGAAAACCUGCCGUCGUGAUGGUUUCAAG